GACGAACGCUGGUGGCGUGCUUAACACAUGCAAGUCGAACGGGAUUUAGUAAACAGAAGCCUCGGUGGAAGAUUACUAAUGAGAGUGGCGAACGGGUGAGUAACGCGUGAGCAACCUGCCUAUGACAGUGGGAUAGCCUCGGGAAACCGGGAUUAAUACCGCAUAAAAUCGUAGAAACACAUGUUUUAACGGUCAAAGAUUUAUCGGUCAUAGAUGGGCUCGCGUCUGAUUAGCUAGUUGGUGAGAUAACAGCCCACCAAGGCGACGAUCAGUAGCCGGUCUGAGAGGAUGAACGGCCACAUUGGAACUGAGACACGGUCCAAACUCCUACGGGAGGCGGCAGUGGGGAAUAUUGCACAAUGGGGGAAACCCUGAUGCAGCGACGCCGCGUGAACGAAGAAGGUAUUCGUAUCGUAAAGUUCUGCCCUAUGGGAAGAUAAUGACAGUACCAUAGAAGAAAGCUCCGGCUAAAUACGUG
rnacentral:rRNA from 1 species